rnacentral:tRNA from 3 species
GCGAGAAUAGCUCAGCUGGUAGAGCGCAACCUUGCCAAGGUUGAGGUCGCGGGUUCGAGCCCCGUUUCUCGCUCCA